UACGGAGGGUGCAAGCGUUACUCGGAAUUACUGGGCGUAAAGCGCGCGUAGGCGGCUUGAUAAGCCGGUUGUGAAAGCCCCGAGCUCAACCUGGGAACGGCAUCCGGUACUGUCAAGCUAGAGUGUAGGAGAGGAAGGUAGAAUUCCCGGUGUAGCGGUGAAAUGCGUAGAGAUCGGGAGGAAUACCAGUGGCGAAGGCGGCCAUCUGGACUAAUACUGACGCUGAGGUGCGAAAGCGUGGGUAGCAAACAGG
rnacentral:misc_RNA from 1 species